AUUGAACGCUGGCGGCAGGCCUAACACAUGCAAGUCGAACGAGUGGCGGACGGGUGAGUAAUGUCUGGGAAUCUGCCCGAUGGAGGGGGAUAACUACUGGAAACGGUAGCUAAUACCGCAUACUCUCGGAUGUACCCAGAUGGGAUUAGCUUGUUGGUGGGGUAAAGGCUCACCUAGGCGACGAUCCCUAGCUGGUCUGAGAGGAUGACCAGCCAAACUGGAACUGAGACACGGUCCAGACUCCUACGGGAGGCAGCAGUGGGGAAUAUUGCACAAUGGGCGCAAGCCUGAUGCAGCCAUGCCGCGUGUAUGAAGAAGGCCUUCGGGUUGUAAAGUACUUUCAGCGGGGAGGCGUUACCCGCAGAAGAAGCACCGGCUAACUCCGUGCCAGCAGCCGCGGUAAUAC
rnacentral:rRNA from 1 species